rnacentral:piRNA from 1 species
UAAAACCUGGUGGUGGUAAUUCCCAAC